GACACAUGCACAUUUUCUCCCUGAACUGUUCUGUGUGGAGAAUUGUGACAGUGAAGGGAAUGUGCCUGUAUCUGUCAGGGGUAUUGACUUGCCUAUGGAGGGAGCUACCCCGGUCUCCAAGCCGUUGUCU